rnacentral:rRNA from 1 species
GCAGAGCAUCCUACGGGAGGCAGCAGUGGGGAAUAUUGCACAAUGGGCGCAAGCCUGAUGCAGCCAUGCCGCGUGUAUGAAGAAGGCCUUCGGGUUGUAAAGUACUUUCAGCAGUGAGGAAGGUGGGUAUGUUAAUAGCAUACUCAUUUGACGUUAGCUGCAGAAGAAGCACCGGCUAACUCCGUGCCAGCAGCCGCGGUAAUACGGAGGGUGCGAGCGUUAAUCGGAAUUACUGGGCGUAAAGCGCAUGCAGGUGGUUUGUUAAGUCAGAUGUGAAAGCCCGGGGCUCAACCUCGGAAUUGCAUUUGAAACUGGCAAACUAGAGUACUGUAGAGGGGGUAGAAGUUUCAGGUGUAGCGGUGAAAUGCGUAGAGAUCUGAAGGAAUACCGGUGGCGAAGGCGGCCCCCUGGACAGAUACUGACACUCAGAUGCGAAAGCGUGGGGAGCAAACAGGAUUAGAUACCCUGGUAG